GGGCCCGUAGUUCAGUGGUAAAACGGCGCAUUCGCAUUGCGCAGGCGGGGGUUCGAUUCCCCCCGGGUCCA
rnacentral:tRNA from 1 species